GACGAACGCUGGCGGCGUGCUUAACACAUGCAAGUCGAGCGGUAAGGCCCCUUCGGGGGUACACGAGCGGCGAACGGGUGAGUAACACGUGAGCAACCUACCCUCAACUUCGGGAUAAGCCUCGGAAACGGGGUCUAAUACCGGAUAUCACUUUCCACCUCAUGGUGGGGGGUUGAAAGUUCUGGCGGUUGGGGAUGGACUCGCGGCCUAUCAGCUUGUUGGUGGGGUAAUGGCCUACCAAGGCGUCGACGGGGUAGCCGGCCUGAGAGGGCGACCGGCCACACUGGGACUGAGACACGGCCCAGACUCCUACGGGGGGCAGCAGUGGGGAAUAUUGCGCAAUGGACGAAAGUCUGACGCAGCAACGCCGCGUGAGGGAUGACGGCCUUGGUU
rnacentral:rRNA from 1 species